UACGUAGGGGGCAAGCGUUGUCCGGAUUUACUGGGCGUAAAGGGCGCGUAGGCGGCCACCGCAAGUCGGUUGUGAAAUCUCCGGGCUUAACCCGGAAAGGUCAACCGAUACUGCGGGGCUAGAGUGCAGAAGGGGCAACUGGAAUUCUCGGUGUAGCGGUGAAAUGCGUAGAUAUCGAGAGGAACACCUGCGGCGAAGGCGGGUUGCUGGGCUGACACUGACGCUGAUGCGCGAAAGCUAGGGGAGCGAACGGG
rnacentral:rRNA from 1 species